rnacentral:ncRNA from 1 species
UCAGCUCAUUUUCGAGAAGAAUAAGCAAGAUUCAAAUUGAGAUGAGUUCAACAUGAACAAACGUGUAUAACUCCCUGCAGGGUAAACCGUCGCAGAUAUGAAUGACAUAUUUGGCAAUGGUAUUCCAGGCCCUAUUCAGAAAGGUAUGUCGCACCGCCAUUCCCGAUGUCGGGUAAUCAUCUCUCCCUUGUAAGUUUGCCAAAUUCGCUUAAUUGUGAGGGCGGGAGAUAUAUGUUGCCAACGGCUGCGCUGACAGCACUGGCUGUGCGUUCCGAACCGUCUGCGGUGCCCACCUCGGUGGUGUCUUGCUUUGGGGUAGGUUUGUCGUGGCUAGUGUUUUAUCCUGCUCGCAGGGUGUCAGUGUGAAAGUCGACCAUCUCUCCGACCCAUCUUGAAACACGGACCGAGGAGUGUAACUUGUACGCGAGUCAAAGGGUGGAAAACGAAAAUCCCAUGGCGAAAUGAAAGUAAAGGUUGGCUAACCGGCUGACAUGGGAUCUGCUCUUCGAGGCAGCGCACCAUGGCCCUGUCUCGUCUGCUUGCAGAUGGGCAACGGUAGAGCGUACAGAUUGCGACCGGAAAGAUGGUGAACUAUGCUUGAGCAGGACGAAGGCAGAGGAGACUCUGAUGGAAGUCCAUAUCGGUUCUAACUUGCAAAUCGAUCGAUAGACUUGGGUAUAGGGGCGAAAGACUAAUCGAACCAUCUAGUAGCUGGUUCCCUCCGAAGUUUCCCCCAGGAUAGCUGGAGUUCAUUGCGGUUAUAUCCGGUAAAGCGAAUGAUUAGAGGACUUGGGGUCGAAACGACCUCAACCUAUUCUCAAACUUUCAAUGGGUAUGUUGUCUCGGUUUCUUUGUUGAACUGCUGACACGAACGCGAGCUCCAAG